rnacentral:rRNA from 1 species
GACGAACCAUCCAAACGUUAUUCGGAAUCACUGGGCUUAAAGGGUGCGUAGGCGGCCCGGUAAGUUGGGUGUGAAAUACCUCAGCCUAACUGAGGAACUGCGCCCAAAACUGCCAGACUCGAGGAAGACAGAGGUGAGCGGAACUUAGGGUGAAGCGGUGAAAUGCGUUGAUAUCCUAAGGAACACCAGUAGCGAAGGCGGCUCACUGGGUCUUAUCUGACGCUGAGGCACGAAAGCUAGGGGAGCGAACGGGAUUAGAUACCCCAGUA